rnacentral:tRNA from 1 species
UGGAAUAGCUCAGUUGGUAGAGCACUUCACUCGUAAUGAAGGGGCCGUCGGUUCAAGUCCGAUUUCC